AGUGAACGCUGGCGGUAGGCCUAACACAUGCAAGUCGAACGGCAGCACAGUAAGAGCUUGCUCUUACGGGUGGCGAGUGGCGGACGGGUGAGGAAUACAUCGGAAUCUACUUUUUCGUGGGGGAUAACGUAGGGAAACUUACGCUAAUACCGCAUACGACCUACGGGUGAAAGCAGGGGAUCUUCGGACCUUGCGCGAUUGAAUGAGCCGAUGUCGGAUUAGCUAGUUGGCGGGGUAAAGGCCCACCAAGGCGACGAUCCGUAGCUGGUCUGAGAGGAUGAUCAGCCACACUGGAACUGAGACACGGUCCAGACUCCUACGGGAGGCAGCAGUGGGGAAUAUUGGAAAAUGGGCGCAAGCCUGAUCCAGCCAUACCGCGUGGGUGAAGAAGGCCUUCGGGUUGUAAAGCCCUUUUGUUGGGAAAGAAAAGCAGCAGGUUAAAACCCCGCUGUUCUGACGGUACCCAAAGAAUAAGCACCGGCUAACUUCGU
rnacentral:rRNA from 1 species